AGUGGAGGCUCCGGCAGCGGACACACACUUAAACACUGCGGAUGAAAGGCCGUCCCACGCCUCUGCUGGUCUGACGGAAAUCAACGCAAGAACCUUGAGAGAAAAAAAAGAAAGAAAAAAAAACUCAUUAUCACGGAUACAAACACACAACCGAGGAUGGAUAUCUCUUCCACAGCCAGCCUCGGCAGACGGCUGUGGGAUUUAUAGAUCUGAUCCACGCGCUCACCUGUUUGUUAACCCGAGGCUGCACAGAAACCCAUGUGUCCUGCACAUCUGGAGCCCGAAUGAUGCUGCCCACCGUCCUCGUCGCCACAUGUGGAUGUUUUAGUCCCCAUGGAUGCGGGAGGCGUCUUGCACGUUGUGAAAGAAGAUUCAGACUUACCUUUUGCUGUUAGAGCUAACAACGGAGCCUGUUUCUAUCUUUGGUUAUCUAGCUGUAUGAGUGUUAAUCAUCCAUCAUAAAGCUAGAUAACCGAAAGCAGGAAUGAUCUCCAAACCCUCAGCUUCCUGCAUUAAUGAGAUUAAACAAGAAAAACACAGACACAAGAGGACAAGACAUCUUUUCAGAAAAGGACCCUGAUGAUGCUGAUGAUGCCACCACGCCGGAGAGGUUCUUUAGAGCUUGUGUCAGCGUGUUAAUCACAUGGAUUCACAGGCCACUGCAUGGGGGUUUGUCUCUGUGCAGUUAGGCUGCAGCAAAGAAAUGGUUCUCUGAAGCAUUGUUUGGACUAACUAAAAAUCGCUGCUUUGAAGCUGAGUUUUGAUACAAAAAAAAGAAAAUUCUCAUUUAUUUGAAAAAAAAAAGAUGUUGUCUUUGUUAAAAUGGGGAUGGAUUUUGACUGAAUCUUUGUAAGGCAUUCUGAACAAAAUGUUGAGAGGUUGCUGUUUCAAUUCAUUUACACGUGGUUCAUUUAUUCAUAUUAUUAUUUGAGAUUGUGAAGGCGAGCUGAAUGAAAUGUUUUGCUCUUUACUCAAUAAAAGAAAUGUUGGAGACA